rnacentral:rRNA from 1 species
UACAGAGGGGGCCAGCGUUGUUCGGAAUUAUUGGGCGUAAAGGGCGCGUAGGCGGCCAUGCGUGUCUGCCGUGAAAUCCCUCGGCUCAACCGAGGACGUGCGGACGAAACUGCAAGGCUCGAGUCCGGAAGAGGGGGGCGGAAUUCCCAGUGUAGCGGUGAAAUGCGUAGAUAUUGGGAGGAACACCAGUGGCGAAAGCGGUCCCCUGGGCCGGAACUGACGCUGAGGCGCGAAAGCGUGGGGAGCAAACGGG